rnacentral:tRNA from 1 species
GGGCCUGUAGCUCAGUGGGUAGGGCACCAGCCACAUACACCCAGGCUGGUGGGUUCAAACCUCGCCUGGCCCG